GCCGUGAGUGCGAGCGGGAGCUUCGUCCCAGCGCGGCUGUCGGACGGUGGAGGUGGCGCUCGGGCGGCUGCGCGGGCGAGGAGGUGAGGAGGGAGAAGAACCUCCCCAGACGGUAUGUGAAAUAAUGAGGUGGUACCUGAACAUUUGCUGAAACACAUCAGCUGGCUUCAAUCUAAUUGCGGCGUAUAAAAGCAAGCCACUGUAAAAGGAAGGAGGUGGAAGUGCUCCUGGCUGCAGGGAAGCAUGCUGAAGUUGAUGGUGUGGUCAGGUGCAGCAGUGGCAGAGCUUAGCAGAGAUUUCCAAGUGCUCAUCUGAGAAGCUUGCUGUCUGUGUUUCUCCCUGUGUUGCAGCCACUGGGGCUCUGUGCUGUAGCUUUGGAUGGCUGGUAGGGGUGUGCUUGCUCCAAAAACAUGACUGUGUUUUUUACCCUUGUGAUGGGA